rnacentral:rRNA from 1 species
UAUUGGACAAUGGGGGAAACCCUGAUCCAGCAACGCCGCGUGGGGGAUGAAGGUCUUCGGAUUGUAAACCCCUGUUGGGAGGGGCGAAGGCUUUCGGGUGAACAGCCCGGAAGCUUGACGGUACCUCCAGAGAAAGCUCCGGCUAACUCUGUGCCAGCAGCCGCGGUAAUACAGAGGGAGCAAGCGUUAUUCGGAAUUAUUGGGCGUAAAGGGCGCGUAGGCGGCCCAGCAAGUCUUGGGUGAAAUCCCUCGGCUCAACCGAGGAACUGCCCUGGAAACUGCUGGACUUGAGGCCGGGAGAGGGUGGUGGAAUUCCCAGUGUAGCGGUGAAAUGCGUAGAUAUUGGGAGGAACACCAGUGGCGAAGGCGGCCACCUGGACCGGUUCUGACGCUGAGGCGCGAAAGCGUGGGGAGCAAACAGG